UACGUAGGGUGCGAGCGUUGUCCGGAAUUAUUGGGCGUAAAGGGCGCGCAGGCGGCUCGUUUUGUCAGGCGUGAAAGCCCCGGGCUUAACCUGGGAACUGCGUUUGAUACGGACGGGCUAGAGUUCGGGAGAGGAGAGUGGAAUUCCCAGUGUAGAGGUGAAAUUCGUAGAUAUCGAGAGGAACACCAGUGGCGAAGGCGAGUCCCUGGACAUCUCCUGACACUGAGGCACGAAAGCUAGGGGAGCAAACAGG
rnacentral:rRNA from 1 species